rnacentral:lncRNA from 1 species
AGAGCAGAUCAAGGAGGCAGAAGCUCUUCAGAACUAUCGAGAACCAUGAAGUGGACGGAACUGUUACCGAGGAGGGAUUUCUGGCCACCAGACUGACACUUAACAGACACCAAGAGCUGAGGCCUGGCACAGGCCAGACUCGGCCAAAGAAAGGACAAAGAUGAUUAUAAAGCCAGAUAUGAGCCAUCUGGGCCAUGCCCGUGUAAUCCAGAAGGUUGUGGAGGAAAGGCAGGAGCAGAGAGGGUGGGCUUGCUCCUGGAGGUCUUCCUGGAGGUGGUGAGCCUGGAGCUGUUUUUCAGAGAUAAGGGGGAAUGGGGUUACCAGGAGGUGAAGACUGCAGCUGGGGAGAAUAGCCUCUAGUCUAGGUCAAGCCCAGACUUGAGUUCUGAGAAAAGUCAAGAAUGCAUUUCUCUCCAGGGUAUUCACUGCGGGAGAGGUGGGUCAAACGGGUUUGCCCUCGUCACCAGCUGUAGAAACAGAAGUGGACGUCCCCAUCCCCUGCCAGCUCAGGGAGCGGAAAGCUUCCGUGACCUUGACUCUCACAGUACAUUGCCCUUUGGCAGCUCCCACGACCUGUGUGCCCCACGGCUCAGGUCAUCUUGAAGCCAAGACUUAAGGAAUGGACCCUCCAGGACCCACCUCCCCUGGCCUCGCCUUAUAAGACCCCGGUGACCCUGGCGUCUGAGGCUACAGCAGGAAACAGGAACCCACACUCCUUGGGGUUCAGGAACUCUGGGCGGCACAGGUGGGUCCCGGGAGCUGCCACCUUCCUUGCCAAGGGGCCGUGCAUGCCAUGCAGCUGAAGACCGACCCCAGCCCGGAAACAGAGCUUUCUAGUGGUUUCUGGCUUCUUUCCAGCCGGGAGCCAACACCAGGAGGAUUGGCUGGGGACCUCGAGGCCGGGGCUGCGCGCUCUGACGUGCAGCCCCUAGACACGCAGGGACGGUGGAGCUGGAGAACCCCAUCUUGGGAAGGCUGGUGGAGGGGGAGCCCCAGGCGGAGAGCGCUCAGCUGAUGCUCCAGCGUGCCACCUCCUUAUCUUACCAUCUCCAGAGAGACCACCCAGACUCCUGCCCUGAGACUGAAGAUUCAAGGCACGGGUGGAAGGCUGCCCGGGGAAGACAAGGGAGACCGAGGCAUGGCGACCAACGACAUUGUCCCACUGGGUGUGACAGUGCUAGAAGAGGGACCCGGGACUCGGGGCUACCUCUUCAUACCUCCCGAAGAUCGCCUUGGUCUGUGGGGCUUGGGAGGAAGGCAGUGGAUGGCUGGAAGGCCCCCUCUGGCUCCAGCCUGGAAUACUCAGACGAAGGGAGGGAGGCUGGGAGGUCUUUGCCUGCCCUGGAACCUUUCCGGGACUCCCACCCCCUUUGGCUCCGUAUCCCGAGAAUGACGAAAAGAAAUGCAGCCGGCCCCGACCCCGGCAGCGACCAGCAAUGCUGUGUAGGUGUCGCAAAGGGGUGGGAAGGAAGGCUGGAGGUCCUGGGGCUGGGGCGGCGGGCAGAGAUCGUGCUGAGGGGCAGGAGGGGGAGGGGCUCUGGGAGCCUGCUUCAGGGACCAUCUUGGCAGGGGACUGAGCCCGGGGCAGGGAUUCCAGGGAGCGUGCUUGCCUCCUGGAAGGCCAUUUCAGGUGAGGAUAGCGAAGCGACCAUUUAUUAGGGCUUUCUUUGGUCGGGCCUUUUACCCACAUGCUCUCAAUUCCUACAACGACCACGCGAGGUAGGUGCUGCCACCCCAUUUUACAGACGGGAAGAAGGAGACCCGGAGACGUGACCUUCCCCCAAGCAUCACAGAGUCCACAGUGAAGAGCGGGGGUGCAAAGGGGCUCGAUCGAGCGUGGCGUGGACCGCUGGCCGCAGGCGGAAGGAGCCGGGGGCUCCCUGAUGAAGAGCAGGGCGUCUCAGAGGGGGACUUCCCUGUCCGCAGUGUCAGCCAGGCCGAUGACCUCAGCUGGAGGCGGAGGAGAAGCCUGAGGGAGGAUUUGGGUGUGAGCAAGAAAGGGUGGACCCCCCGGAGAGGAGAAAUAAACACUGGCAUCAAAAUCGCCCGCAGGGCUCCGGGCGGGGGGCGGGCGGAGAGCUGGGGGUGGGAUGUCCCCGAGGAGGACUCCGGGGGAGGUGCUGGCAAGGUGUGGGGGUUGCUGGCCACCCACUGUCUCUCCGUGGGGGCUCCCUAGUUCCCGCCGCCUCUUACAGAGCAAGUGAUUUCAGAGAAGGAGCCUGCGGUAGGCAAGGUCAGGGCCCGCCUGUGCCCCUAGAGAAAGGAUUUCACCGCUGGGACUUAUUCGCUGAACAAAGCCAGGGGCCCGCCACAGGCCAGGUCCUUUUCUAAGCACUGGGAAUCGACGAAUGAACACAGCAAACAAAAAUCCUCGCUCUCCAGGGGCGCCUGGGCGGCUCAGUCGGUGGAGCGUCUGACUUCGGCUCAGGUCACGAUCUCACCAUUCGUGGGUUCGAGCCCCGGGUCGGGCUCUGUGCUGACAGCUCGGAGCCUGGAGCCUGCUUCAGAUUCUGUGCCUCCCUCUCUCUCUGCCCCAAUCCACUCGCAUUCUGUCUCUGUGUCUCUCAAAAAUAAACAUUAAAAGAAAAAAAACUCCUUGCUCUCCUGGAGCUCAACUUUUAGCUGGAAGAAAGACCAGAAAACGAUGAGGAAAAUAAUUGGUAACUCACCACAUAUGGUAAGUGCCAGAGAGAAACAAAACAAAACAAAGCAACUAAGAAGGGAUUUGAGAUGUUGCAGAGGGUAGGUGUGAAAUUUUAUUAUUUUUAUUUUGAUUUUAUAUUUUUAAUAUAUGUAUUUUUAAGCUUUAUUUAUUUAUUUAGAGAGACAGAGAAAGAGCACGAGCAGAGGAGGGGCAGAGAGAGGGAGCGAGAAUCCCAAGCAGGCCUCACACUGUCAGGGCAGAGCCUGACGCAGGACUUGAACUCACAAACCAUGAGAUCAUGACCUGAACUGAAAUUAAGAGUUGGAUGCUUAACCGGCUGAACCACCCAGGUGCCUGCCCCUCAGAGUGUGAAAUUGUAGAUCGGGAUGUCAGGAAGGUUCUUCUGAGUCAAUCUAUGAAGAACGAUGUGAGCAAGGUUAGCCAGAAGUUCUCUGGAGGAAGAGCGUUCAGGAAGCGGGAACAGUCAGUGCAAAGGUCCUGAGGCAGGAGCACGCCUGGAGGGUUAGGAGACCAUCAAGGAGACUGGUAUGGCUGGAGGAGAGAGAAAAGGUGGGAAUGUUGGAGUCAAGGUCAAAGAGGUCGUUAGAGCCAGAUUAAGGAGUGUCGUAAAAGAAAGGAGUUUGGUUUACAUCCCGAGCCCCCAGAGGGUUGGAGUAGGAGAGUGAACCCUUUGUAAGUGAUGGGGAUGGGCGGGAUGACUUUGGAGGUUCAUUCCAGUUAGCGAGUUCAUGACACAGGGUCUCUUUUUGGGAUCCAGAUGCCUUCCUUCACUGCAUUAGGGUCCGCUAGGUAACGCGGACUGAGUCCGUGUGUGUGUUUGGGGGAGGGUGGGAAGGGACUUCCGGCUGCGAUCUUCACUUUCCUGAACCACCGAUAUGUUUGGACCAGGUAGCUUCCGAAACGUCAUCUAGCCCCGAGAUGUAUGAAUCUUCCAAAGCGCCCCGCUUGGGGAAUUUCCGCUCGGCAGCCCUGAGCUGAGUGUGCAGGUUUCCCCUUGGGAACGUGUGACACAGCCUGGUCGUGGGAGCCGCUCG